rnacentral:rRNA from 1 species
CUCGUAGGCGGUUCGUCGCGUCCGGUGUGAAAGUCCAUCGCUUAACGGUGGAUCCGCGCCGGGUACGGGCGGGCUUGAGUGCGGUAGGGGAGACUGGAAUUCCCGGUGUAACGGUGGAAUGUGUAGAUAUCGGGAAGAACACCAAUGGCGAAGGCAGGUCUCUGGGCCGUUACUGACGCUGAGGAGCGAAAGCGUGAGGAGCGAACA